AUUAAUAACCUGGGUCGAGAACCCAAAAUAUUGAA
rnacentral:ncRNA from 1 species